CGGCAAGAGCCCAAAUUUGAAAUCGGGCAACCGAGUUGUAAUUUGGAGACGGGACACUAGAGAGGAGGAAGGCGAUUAAGUGCCUUGGAACAGGCUGCCGUAGAGGGUGAGAGCCCCGUGAAUCGCUGGAGACCGAUCGAUUAGUGCCCGCCGAAGAGUCGAGUUGUUUGGGAAUGCAGCUCUAAGCGGGUGGUAUAUUCCAUCUAAGGCUAAAUAUUAGCGAGAGACCGAUAGCAAACAAGUACAGUGAUGGAAAGAUGAAAAGAACUUUGGAAAGAGAGUGAAAUAGUACGUGAAAUUGUUGAAAGGGAAGGGUAUUUGAUCCGACAUGGUGUUUAGCAGCGGCCCGUUCCUCGUGGAUGGGUGCACCUGGUUUACACUGGGCCAGCAUCGGUUCUGGGAGCCAUAUACGGGGUUCGUGAAUGUGGCCCUUCGAUUCUGUCGGAGGGUGUUAUAGCGCGGGCAUCUUGUGGCUAGCCGGGACCGGGGACU
rnacentral:rRNA from 1 species